AGCUCCGUAGCGGUGAGCAACAUCGCACAGCUCCUCCAGAGGACAUAUGGCACCUGAGAGCCCCAGAGAAUGAAGUGGCUUAAUUAGAAGUGUCAAGUGAAGGUGAACAGAUGGAGAUUUGGACGAUUUUCUGCUGCUGUAACAAGUGAACUUCCCUCAAGCUUUGGAUCAAUAAAGUUUAGCUUUAAUCAUCUAUAUUUACCUGGCAGCAUUUUAGCUAAGGUGAAGAGGGUGGAGUCGUUUGCCACGAAGCAGGAGGAGAAGACCAGAGCUGCGUCCUUCUGGUGCAGCUGGGAGAGCUCCUUCUCCAGAGACACGUGGAAGUUACUGGUGCCGGAGAUGUUCCUGGUCCCACCGGCUCCUGCGCCGUGUCUGUCCAGAGCGUCACUGAGAGGAUCCAGAGCAAAAUGGAAAAUAAAACACCAGCCUCACAAAAUC